GCCGCGGUGGUGUAGCCUGGUAACAUGCGGGACUGUGGAUCCCGUGAGCCCGGGUUCAAAUCCCGGCCGCGGCC
rnacentral:tRNA from 1 species